AUGAAAAGCAAGAGAGCUUCUAAGUUCUACACACUAGAGCUGGUGUACACGCGUUCUCAGAGCUCAUGUCCAGGGCUUCAUCAGAGCUAUUUUCUAUGCUGGAAACCUAAAACAACAAAGAUUUUCAAUCCACCCAGACUAAUCAAAAUUUGUCUAAAGUGGAACGGAUGUUCGUCACCUUUGACUAAGCUGCUGAGCCCAAGAAAUGUGGCAGACUGGUGGCCUAGCUGUUCAACUUCUCAACACGAUUGCAUCACAGAUAUGGAUAAGAUGGUCAUUGUUGGUGAUAAUAGUUUUGGGGAGCAGAAGAGUCGUCACCGGUGCAGGCGCAAGAAGCAUGAUGUGAGGAUGUUGGAUGCUUUGAGAUGA
rnacentral:rRNA from 1 species